rnacentral:rRNA from 1 species
GAAACCGUUCAGGGGUAAACCUGAGAAACCCAAAAGAUCGAAUGGGGAGAUUCAUCGUCAGCUUAUUUUGUAUAUAUGCAAAUUAUGAUAUGGGUUACUACUUGUAGUAUUGCUUGUACAUUCUUGUAUAUUUAUUUGCAAAAUAUUGUCGGCGUGCACUUCUCCUCUAGUAGAACGUCGUGACCCGUUGAGUUGCUAAUCUACGGCCCAAGUGAGAGCUUUCAAUAAAUAUUUAUUAUUUGUUGAAAAUCCUUGGUGUUAUCUGAAUAGCACUUGUCGGUAUUCGUAUGGUAUUAAGCCGCAUAAUUUAUAUGCGUCCUAAUCAUCACAAGCGAGAUUAAUAGCUAAUAGUUAUGGACCUAGUGCCAUCGUUAAUAUUAAUCAGCUGUUAGUUGUAUGAAAUUCUAGGACUGGCUUAGAUUUUUUAAUUACCGGUCAGCGAUGCUACUGCUUUGGGUACUUUCAGGACCCGUCUUGAAACACGGACCAAGGAGUCUAACAUGUACGCGAGUCAUUGGGACAUUAAUAAAUUAAACCUAAAGGCAUAAUGAAAGUAAAGGUCGACCCUGUGUCGAUUGAGGGAAGAUGGGCUAUGUUAUAAUAUAUAUAGCUCCGCACUCCCGGGGCGUUUCAUUCUCAUUACGAGAAGAGGCGCACCUAGAGCGUACACGUUGG